CUACGUGCCAGCAGCCGCGGUAAUACGUAGGUGGCAAGCGUUGUCCGGAAUUAUUGGGCGUAAAGCGCGCGCAGGCGGAUAGGUCAGUCUGUCUUAAAAGUUCGGGGCUUAACCCCGUGAUGGGAUGGAAACUGCCAAUCUAGAGUAUCGGAGAGGAAAGUGGAAUUCCUAGUGUAGCGGUGAAAUGCGUAGAUAUUAGGAAGAACACCAGUGGCGAAGGCGACUUUCUGGACGAAAACUGACGCUGAGGCGCGAAAGCCAGGGGAGCGAACGGGAUUAGAUACCCCGGUAGUCCUGGCCGUAAACGAUGGGUACUAGGUGUAGGAGGUAUCGACCCCUUCUGUGCCGGAGUUAACGCAAUAAGUACCCCGCCUGGGGAGUACGACCGCAAGGUUGAAACUCAAAGGAAUUGACGGGGGCCCGCACAAGCGGUGGAGUAUGUGGUUUAAUUCGACGCAACGCGAAGAACCUUACCAGGUCUUGACAUUGAUGGACAGGACUAGAGAUAG
rnacentral:rRNA from 1 species